rnacentral:rRNA from 1 species
UAGAACGCUGAAGGAGGAGCUUGCUUCUCUGGAUGAGUUGCGAACGGGUGAGUAACGCGUAGGUAACCUGCCUGGUAGCGGGGGAUAACUAUUGGAAACGAUAGCUAAUACCGCAUAAGAGUAGAUGUCGCAUGACAUUUGCUUAAAAGGUGCAAUUGCAUCACUACCAGAUGGACCUGCGUUGUAUUAGCUAGUUGGUGGGGUAACGAGCUCACCAAGGCGACGAUACAUAGCCGACCUGAGAGGGUUGAUCGGCCACACUGGGACUGAGACACGGCCCAGAUUCCUACGGGAGGCAGCAGUAGGGAAUCUUCGGCAAUGGACGGAAGUCUGACCGAGCAACGCCGCGUGAGUGAAGAAGGUUUUCGGAUCGUAAAGCUUUGUUGUAAGAGAAGAACGAGUGUGAGAGUGGAAAGUUCACACUGUGACGGUAUCUUACCAGAAAGGGACGGCUAACUACGUGCCAGCAGCCGCGGUAAUACGUAGGUCCCGAGCGUUGUCCGGAUUUAUUGGGCGUAAAGCGAGCGCAGGCGGUUAGAUAAGUCUGAAGUUAAAGGCUGUGGCUUAACCAUAGUACGCUUUGGAAACUGUUUUACUUGAGUGCAAGAGGGGAGAGUGGAAUUCCAUGUGUAGCGGUGAUAUGCGUAGAUAUAUGGAGGAACACCGGUGGCGAAAGCGGCUCU